rnacentral:pre_miRNA from 1 species
AGUCUCAUUUGGUAGCCAAGGAUGACUUGCCUGCUCUGAACUUGCCCUAUUCGAGUUGAACUAAGCAUUCGAGUAGUUCGUCCCGGUAUCAGGCAGUCUCCUUGGCUAGUCAGAAAGUCUCU